AUCUUUUAUGAAAUUUAUAAAUUGCAAGUUUAUUCAUUCUUCUCAUUCCAUUACCACAAUAUUAAAUUUUCAAGUCAGGUUAACUGAGAUUUGUCGAAGGUUCCAGCAGCUCUAAAACAGUAGAGGAAAUUCAAUGUGAUUCAGUUCACGUUGAAACGAAUCGGUAUAACACAAAGUGUAUCGACAUCCGGCCGGAAUCGAGAUUCAGUGUCUUGGAUCGUGAACGAUCCAUUCGAACCGGUGGAAAACCGUUUUCGGUAUGCCGGUUCGGUGGCUCCAAUGAAAAAUAGGUUACCUUUUAGUAAACCGUUUUACCAGUACUCUGUACCCGGAGGGAAUGAAGAUCAAUAAAACAGCGAGAGAAAAAGAACGAUUUGAGGGUGGCCCCGGCGUUUCAAGGCGACGACGGCAGGGCAGGGGUGGACAAAAUAGGGGUGGGUAGGGGGGAGGGGAACGAUGCCUCGUUCAAUUUAAAUGAAACUCGUAUUAACGGUGUGAAAUCAGCGAAUUCAAUUAGGCGAGCUUUUAUUAAUACAACAUGAUUAAUUAAACAAUACCGUGGGAGGAGGGGGGGGAGGGGCGGUAGUGGAAGGAGUAGUGGAAGGUUCAGGGAGUCGCAAAGGGUUGUCGGGAGAGCGGCAGAUGUUCGUGGCGUCAACCAAAUUAUUAAAUGUCAGAAACAAUUGAAAAUUUGAAUGCGGCGGUUGAAAAAGACACGCACCCCACGUUAUUCACGAUUAUGCGGUUGCUGCCACGACCUUGACUUUAACGGGGUCGGAUCCGGAGCACUUAACCGCUCUCUCAUUAACGUGGAAGCAGAUGUGAAUGCAAGGCGCAUGCAGCCACGGUAAAAUAUCGUGUUUUAACUAUUACUCAGCCACUCGAAAUUUCAUAUAAUGCCUGUCAAUCAUCUGGAAGGGAGUUAUUUGUCUCAGGCAAUCGACGCCCCGACGAGACAGCAACCGUGAACGAUUAUGCACGGAUUUUUAAAGGCUAAUCGAUCAUCCGUGAUCCCUUCGAUUUUUCAAUAUUCAGCGAGAAGAUCCGGUGCUGGCAGGGUUAAUUGAAAAGUUUCCAGGCGAGGAUGGAGGGAUUAAUGAAAUAUUUUGUUGUUGAUAAUGGACUGGUGAAAAUGUGUUCAUAAGUGGAGCGGAAUUCCCCUUUGUUCUUGCCGAAAGGAACGAGGACGAGAGUUGCUUUCUACCUGAAGAAAAAUGACACUGGAGGAACUUAAGCGAAAAAUCAUCCCUCUCGAAAAACGAGCCUAUCCAAAUUCGACCACGAUAUUAAAUCUUGGAACGAGAUGCCUGAGAUUCUAUUUCGUGCAAUGGAUUUAGAGAUUAGGCCGCAGAAUAGCGCAGCUGUGUUGACUACAAAUCUCCACCUG